rnacentral:rRNA from 1 species
CCAAUAGCGUAUAUUAAAGUUGUUGCAGUUAAAAAGCUCGUAGUUGAAUUUCGGGAUCAAUAUACCGGUCAUGCCUUGGUAUGCACUGGUAUCUUUGAUUUCUCCCUUCUGACGAACUUUGAUGUCAUUAAUUUGGUGUCAUAGGGAAUCAGGACUGUUACUUUGAAAAAAUUAGAGUGUUUAAAGCAGGCUCACGCUUGAAUACAUUAGCAUGGAAUAAUGAAAUAGGACGUUUGAUUCUAUUUUGUUGGUUUCUAGGAUCGACGUAAUGAUUAAUAGGGAUAGUUGGGGGCAUUAGUAUUCAAUUGUCAGAGGUGAAAUUCUUGGAUUUAUUGAAGACUAACUACUGCGAAAGCAUUUGCCAAGGAUGUUUUCAUUAAUCAAGAACGAAAGUUAGGGGAUCGAAGACGAUCAGAUACCGUCGUAGUCUUAACCAUAAACUAUGCCGACUAGGGAUCGGAUGAUGUUAAUUUUUUAAUGACUCAUUCGGCGCCUUACG